CCGCGAGCUUCCUACCACCCCCUUCCCGGGAGCGGCCUCACGCACGCUCGCCGGCGUCUUCCUCCCGCCUAACAACAACUGCUUCGAUACUAUUGGCUGAUUCUGACCCCGCCCCUUGAGGGAUCCCUAGCUACUGCAGCAAGCAAAGUCUUGCCUCAGCCCUGAAUCUUGCUGUCUGUCCCAAAACGUCAUUGAUAUCCAUGUGGGUCUGCAGAACCACUCAGCAUCAGCAUUCAGACAUGUGCUACCCAGAAAUUCAGGGAAGAUGAUGUCUGCAGGGCUACUAUUGAGGAGAAGUGCUUCCUUCUUUCAUCUCCUGAGUGAAGAGUUCUGAGACACAUUCCGUAAGACUCAGAAUAUCCUGUGGAUUGGAGCACCAGCCACUGCAGCAAUGGCCAGCUGGGUAACACAUCUCACACUUAUAUUGGCUUUCUCUCUGUCUUUUUUCCCUCUCAGUAUCCCUCAUUCCUACUUCUUAGAUCACUUCCCAAAUGAACUACCCCUGUGUGAGUCUUGGGCUCUGCUUUUGGGGAAGCCAUGGCUAAAACACACAGAAAGGCCCAACCCCACACUCAGCGCUCCCAAACGAGCUUUUGGCUAUAUUCUUCAUCAUGAACAAACGGCUAAUGCCAAACAGCUAAAGAAAGCUUUUCACAUGAAAAAUAAGGACCAAAACCAGCAGAAGAAAAAGCAACUUACUUCAAGGCAAAACAGACCAUGCAGGGAAAAGACAUCAAAUUAAAACUAUUGUCAUAAAUUUUUUAAAAUGUCAUCAGUAUUUUCAAAAGGAAAAUAAAUGAUGUCGCAUCCAUGAAACAAGGAGAUGUUGCCAUAUAAAGAAAUAAUUCAAAGAACCAAGAGGAACUCCUGGAAAUCAAAAACAUAUGGCAGAAAUGGAAAACUCUGCAGAAAGAAUGAGAAAACUGGAGAAGACUCACGGAACGUAAAGCAAAAAGGACAGUGACUUGACAAUAGGAGAGACAGAGGACAAGCCAUGUAAGUUCAACAUCUGAAUGGCAGAAACUCCAGAAACAGAAAACAAAGAUAAUUAAUUGAAAAGAUUCACCAAUUAAAUAAUUCAAGAAAAUUUCCCAGCAUUGAAGGACACAAUUUCCAGACGGAAAAGGCUGAUCAAGAAAUAAGACCGACACACCAAGGCCCAUCACUGUGAAAUUCUAGCACACAGGGGACAAAGAAAAGAUUCUACAAGCCUCAAGAGGGGAAAAAAGAGUCACAUACAAAGGAGCAGGAACCAACAGCUCAGGCUUCUCAGUGGCAUUAUGGGAAUCAAGAAGACAGGGCAGCAACAUCUUCAAAACUCUAAGAAAAUGAUUUUCAACUCAAAAUUCUAUACCUAGCCAAGUCAUCUGGUAAAUAUGAGAAUAGAAGGAAGACAAUUUUCAUGCAAAAUCUCAAAAAAUGUUAACUCCCAUGCAUGCUUUCUCAAGGAGCUACUGGAGAAUGGAUUCCACAAGGAACUAAACGAGAAAGAAAAAGUCAUAGGAUAGAGGACAGAGGAAAUCCGUUGCAGAAGGCAGGCAAUCAGUAUCUUUGGGUGGAUGGUGCAGGGAGAUCCCAGGAUGUUGACUGCGCCGCAAAUGGCCACCAGUCAGAACUGGAGCAGUGAAACCCAAGAGACAGACAUAUUGAGGAUGGCUUCAUCCAGGAGCUGCCUCCUGUUAUUCCUUCCUUUUUACCUGAGGACUAGAUACCCAGGUGAACCUGACCCUGAUUCUAAUCUGUACAUGACUUAUCUUGGACCAUGCAUUGAUAAAAGUUCCUCUCUCCCCCAUAAGCCUUGCCAUCUAGAUCAGCUGAGGACUCAGUUCUCCUCCCACGGAAAUGGUCUGCUUUGAUCUACUGCUCCACCGUGGUGAGCUUGGAAGCAGAUAAACACAGAGAAGCACAUUUCCCCAACCGCAUCACUUACCCGUCCAACACCUGCCUCCUGCUAUUGUCCUACCAAUGUCCUCACUGUGCUGCACCCUGUUGUCCCCAGGAUUCACUCAUGACAUUCCCUAGGAGAGGUUCUGGUAAAUUCCCAGGGAAGCCAAAGUCAGAUUAAAACCUAGGGACCACUCUCUUUGUCUUCUCCGGGGAGGCUUCAUCUAACUCUGGCAAUAUUAUAUCACAGGUGUGCUACACACAUUGGGAAACGAAAGGAUCAGUGAAGCAACAUGCUUUGUGAUUGGGACCCACAGUACCUGUGUCAGUCGCUCCUCCACAUUCACUUUUAAAGCAGAGACCGCCAGCUCCAACACAAGACUACCUUUGCUCCCCACCCUGCAGCUCAAGAGCAAAAGAGCACAGUUGUCAGAGAUAUGCGCUUUGUACAUACAUCUGUUCUCAAUUUAUCUCAGUGUAUUGUGAUUGUUGGCUUAUAUAGCUGCAGUGGGUAUUUGCUAUUUGGCCACUUAAGCAACCUUUACUCUGAUUUUGCUUUGGGGAAACUAUCUUGACUCCUUGGAGACUGUCUGGAGAAACCACUACAGUUUCCCAUCCUUUAGCAGCACAUCAUCAAACUCAGCCACUCAUUCAUCCCUCCCUCCCUCCUUCUUCCCUUCUUGAAGUUGAAUCUUAUUAUGCUUUUAAUGUCUGUAUGAUCUGUACUGAUGACACUUUUUUAAUUUAUAUCCUCUCAUUUUUUUUUUUAUGGAUCAGCCUAGUUAGGGAUUUAUUGACUUCAUUGAUCUUUUCA
rnacentral:lncRNA from 1 species